rnacentral:lncRNA from 1 species
UAUCGAACUCCGUCGUAGGCUUUCUCCAGAUCUAUUUUUAUGGCUAUCCAUUCACUAUUACUCUUGAUUAUCAUAAAGUGCAAAACUUCUUGUGCAAUGAUCAUAUUAUUAGUAAUGUUCCUACCAGUAACAAACCUCACUUGCUCUUAUCCUAUAAUCUUUGGAAAAACCAACUUGAAAUGAUUAGCGAUAACCUUUAU